ACCCUUAGGAGCUUUUCAUGUGGUUAAAUCAAGAUUCACUUGCACGUUCACUCACACAUGCUGCUUCUACUCCGGAAGUACGCAUCCACAUACAUCCACUCAUUUUCAUAUCUAGAUUCACCCAAAAAUAUUCUACUCCUAAUCCGGGAGAGAAUAGCCAAAAACAUUCUCCUAUUUCUGUUUUCCCCUGUGAAAUAAAUGCUCAAGAUAUUUCGGUUACUACCACUUGCUACAUUAUUUAAAGAGGUGAGUGCUCUAAAAAAAAGAAGAUACGAGGAGAUAAAAAGGGGCAAGUGCCCGAAACCUCGAAAGAAAAGAAAAAGUGAGACGAGAGGUAAAAAUGGACAAGUGUCCGACAGUAGAAUUAGGGGUACAAGAUACCCACCUGAGAGAAAAGAAAAAGAAAAUAUAGAGCAUCUCAUUCUCCUCAAGAAGUUUCAAAAGAGCAAGAAAGGUAUGUAUCCCUCAAAAGAGCACAAGUAGAAUUAGACUUUCACCAUUGUUAUCACCAUUAUCACCAUACACCAUUCAUUCGCCACACAUGCACAUCUUGAUUUGACUUAUUGACUUGUUCUUCUAGAUCCAUGGUUUGACUAUACAAUAAAUAUCUUGUAAGUAUGUAUUAGCUGUCUCCCACCUGUGAGCUCCAGAUAUCAAAACCUUAUUAGAGUAGGGCGAGAGAGAAGGCAAUGCCACUAUGCCUCAUACCAAAAUACCACAUACUUUGAGAGAAGGCAUACACCAUUACUGCCUUGGUAAGGAUCCAGAAAUACCACAAAAGAGAGACUAGAGAGAGUCAUACAAGGAAUCUCUGAGUUUUAUUUGAAAAUCUGCAAAAACUCCAGAGCUAUAGUUAAUCGAAGAACAAGAGACAUGGCGCUUGAUUAGAUCGUUCUAUCUUUUAACUGCUCAAGACACAAGUGAUGGUUGCAAGCCCCAUGGUUGAUGGAAAAACGAGUAAGUUUAAAUCUUAACAGUUUACCCUAACCCAGAGAUGAGAUCUUGUUUGAACACAUGUAUAUCUUUAAGGCAUGAAACCACUGCAGAAACUCUUGAGUUCAUCUUUGCUCAGGGACGAGCAAAGGUUAAGCUUGGGGGAGCUUGUUGACGGUCCUUAAUGCUCACAUUUAACCAUCAACUAAUCAUGGAAAAGGAUCCAAAUGCAACUAACACCCAGACUUAGGGUUUUAUCUGACAGAAUUCCACGAGUUUUGGUGUUUGUCUAUUUCUGUAGGGGGUUAUCAGGAAAUACGGAAGAAAGGCCCACAUGUCGGGUUUACAUAGAGAUAUUAACGUGCCGCGCAAUUUUCUAUCAUCUAGAAGACUCCAGUAGCCACGGGAACGAAGCGGAGGCCGAACGGGGCCUGGCCCAGGGCGCCCGCCCUGCUAUAGUGUCCAAUCCAGACCCGUCUUGCGGAUCACGCUCCACCGACCUAAAGGAUCAAGGAUAACCGUUCAAUCAAUGUCGGUUUGAAAAGACUAUAUAAGCAAGGCCCCUGGCCCCUGGAGAUCAUACCUCUUCUACAGAAUCAAAGCUAGGGUUUCAAUUCUUCAUCCAAAUAGAGAGGAUCCCUCUAGUUCAUCUAGUUCUAGUUCUAGUUAGUUCUAGUUGUAAUCUAGAAAAUAGGGAGAGAGAAGAGGAGAGCGGAGGAGGAGCCGGAGCUGUCGGAUCUUUCUCAACAUUAUACUUUUGCUGCAACUGGUUCAUUCUUCAUCGUUCUCCAAGUUCUUCAAUUCAUAAUUCCUGAGUUCUUUAAUUACUUUUAUUUACAUUCAAGUUAUUUAUUAGAUUCCCGCUUGCAUCAAGUGCUCUAGUCUUUAUAACGCUAGAGUAGUAAUUAAUAGAUUAGACGUGGUGUUUAGUCUUGCAAUUACCUCGAAUUGCACCCAAUCCUGCGGAUUGUUGUGGUAGCCCUAGGGUAGUGACAGCUCUAACGGUCGACGUAUUCCACCUCGUUCGGAUCGGUGUUUGUAGGACCGUAGUCAGAGCUUCCUAGCCCCCUUCUCAUCUCUUUCUGUGGUUAGUGUUCUGAUGUCCCGAAAUAAAUAAUCUUUGAAGUAAUUCUUGAUUCUUAGAUCAACUAGAGAACUCUCAGGAAACUUCCUCUCUUCCCACCAAAAAUAAUUAUAUAGUUAUCCUUGGGCGAUCUUGAAUCUUAAAUAGUACACUCACGUUCCCUGUGGAAAAUCGAUACUCUGGAAUACUCCCGGGUGAAGGCUACAUUGGUAUCCAUGCGCUUGCGGAUUUUUCUGUUUGCGUUUAAAAUACCCAACAAGCUUUCCGGCGCUGUUGCUGGGGAACGGUAGCUGUGCUAGUUUCGAACCAAGUCGUCCGUGUAUCCUUUUUCUUUUCCUUUUUUACCACAUUCACCUUACCAUUUUCACCACACCACAUGGAUUUCACUCCAAGCAUUAAUGAGCAUGCAAUUUAUUUCAUAGCCACUUCAUUUACUCCAUGCUCAUAUGCAACAUCUUCCCAAUCCAUUGAUCUCUCCAACAUCGCCACAUUCGAGAUCUCCAACCCCCUCUUCCUUUCUAUUUAUAAAAACUUUAAAAGGGCGGUUGUCGAUGCAUAUGUCUAUAAUAAAUUUUGCAGAUCUCUUUGAGUUGAUCUUGAUAUAGGUCAUCGUUGGUGGGGAAACCACUUCGCAGACUUAAAUUGAUGGUUUCCCAAAGACAAGCUUAGUGUCCUAAAACACAGCAAUGAUCACAUCAUAACAUGAGCUUUUAAUUAUUUGCAACAUUAUCUUGUGUGUUGAGCAUAUAAGGAUAAUUGUAAAAAAAUUCCUUCGAGUAUUCUUGUCACUAACCUUUCCAAGAUUGGAGCUAGAAGAUCGGAUGAAUGACAAGCACAAGGUAUGUCCAACCAAUCAUCAUACAACAUUGAAUUAAAUUCAUCCAAACUUGAAUUUUGCAAAAUUCAAGCUUGAGGGAGUACUUUACAUAAAAACAUCCCUUGUUAUGUUGCUAUGUUGGUUGUGCCUACCUUUGAGACAUGCUCAAUUUGUUAAAUACUAAUCACACUACUUCAUCUCCACUUGAGUAGAACUCAAUAAAUGCUCUCAUGCUACCUUUAUUUGCUUUAGUAUAUGUCUAGGUUUGGAGUAGUUUCAUUUAUCUCUUAAUUAAGCAUGGUGCUUAGUUUAGGAAUGAUGAUCUUACUUCCACGGGAUUUUAAAUUAAGCAUGGUGCUUAAGUUAAAAUACCCUCCUAAAUCAAAUUAGACAUGGUGUCUAGGUUGAUCUUUGAGCCGAUAGUAUGCUAUAGUAGAUAUUGGAUAUUUUGUUGGACUAACCCCUGCAGGAAAACUUUCAAUAUCGACCUGGGAAGUCCUGAGAUAAACUCACAUUGGAGACAAAGAGAGAGACGCAUGAAGGUUAACAAUUUACACAAGGAAGGCAUAGCUCACAAGAGAUGAUCCAUGGAGCCAUGGAGGGUGCUACAAACACGAUGCACAACCGCUAAGAAAGGAAAGCUUCCACAAGGUGAUAUUGUACCAUCACUCUUCAAGUAAGAUAACAUCUUAAGGUACUUGACUAUCACUUUUAUAAGUUUCUCCUUGGUUCUAGCAUUCACAUGAAUAAAAGAGACAAACAUGUAUGAUUUAAAACUCUAGAUUAACCAACCCAAUCGAUUCAAUAUGUUUAGUCCUACUACCUUCAUGAUCCCACACUCCUAAUCAUAUAAGCAAAAAUGUUACACAUUCAAUCUCUCGAAGAUAUAAACAAAACAUAAGUAUAGAUAGAUUAUCUUUCCAUUAGGUUGAGCGAUCUGAUCUGACAAAUAUUUUAAAUGCUACACUCAUGAUCUUAUUAUCCAUCAACUUUGUCUUGCUCACUAUGCUUAAGGUUAGAGAGAACAAAUACACUUUUGGUUCUGUUGGUGUUUUCCACCAACAGGGCCCAUGCACUUGAUAUCUACCUUGUCUCUAUGAGCAGGUACACUUCGAGCAAAAUAUGAAGGAGUUUUACAACUCCUAGACUCCACCAAGUGAAGAACCUAGAUCUACAAGCACAAACACACUAGAGAUAUUGUACACUCAGGCAAUCACUGCCCUGAGAUGCUUUAUCUAUUCUAUUAUUUAUAUUUUCUAACAUUUUAUCAUUAGAUGCGAAUUUCUUAGAUAGGUUAUCCAUUAGCUUUCCUUGAUUAGACACUAACUCUCUCAGAGGUAGAAAAUUAUUAUUAUUAUUGUAAGAAUUAUUACCUUGAUAAUUACCUAAGUAGUUAGGCCUCUGUUGAUUCCAACCUUGAUUUUGUUGAGGACGGUUGUAGUAGUAGUUGUUGUUGUUGGUGGUGGUGUAGUUUACGUCCUCAAGCAUCUCAGGGCAGUGAUUGCCUGAGUGUCCAGUAUCUCCACACUCCUCACAAGUCAUGUGAGAGUCGUAGACGUGCAUGACUUCUUCUUAUCUCCAGCUCUAUCAUCGAGCUUCUUUAUGAGCAGGUCUAGCUUGGCAGACAUCAUGUCUACUUUCUUGAGUUGGUGCAUACCUCCACCUCUCUUACGUGUCUAGGUGUUGGCAGCAUCCUGCUCAGUGUGUUUGUGCUCGUAGAUCCAGGUUCUUCACUUGGUGGAGUCUGGGAGUUGUAAAACUUCUUCAUAUUUUGCUCGAAGUGUACCUGCUCAUAGAGACAAGGCAGAGAUCAAGUGCAUGGGCCAUGUUGGUGGAAAACACCAACAGAACCAAAAGUGUAUUUGUUCUUCUCUAACCUUAAGCAUAGUGAGCAAGACAAAGUUGAUGGAUAAUAAGAUCAUGAGUGUAACAUUUAAAACAUUUGUCAGAUCAGAUCGCUCAACCUAAUGGAAAGAUAAUCUAUCUAUACUUAUGUUGUUUUUUAUAUAUCUUCUAAAGAUUGUGUGUGCAACAUUUUAGCUCAUAUGAUUAGGAGUGUGGGAUCACAACGGUGGAAGGACUAAACAUGUUGAAUCGAUUAGGUUGGUUAAUCUAGAGUUGUAAAUCAUACAUGUUUGUCUCUUUUAUUCAUAUGAACGCCAGAACUAAGGAGAAACUUAUAAAAGUGAUAGUCAAGUACCUUAAGAUGUUACCUUACUUGAAGAGUGAUGGUACAAUAUUACCUUGUGGAAGCUUUCCUUUCUUAGCGGUUGUGCAUCGUGUUUGUGGCACCCUCCAUGGAUCAUCUCUUGUGAGCUAUGCCUUCCUUGUGUAAAUGGUCAACCUUCAUGCGUCUCUCUCUUUGUCUCCAAUGUGAGUUUAUCUCAGGACAUCCCAGGUCGAUAUUGAAAGUUUUCCUGCAGGGGUUAGUCCAACAAAAUAUCCAAUAUCUACUAUAGCAUACUAUCGGCUCAAAGAUCAACCUAGACACCAUGUCUAAUUUGAUUUAGGAGGGCAUUUUAAUCUAAGCAUCAUGCUUAAUUUAAACUCCCUUGGAAGUAAGAUCAACAUUCCUAACUAAGCACCAUGCUUAAUUAAGAGAUAAAUGAAACUACUCCAAACCUAGUCAUAUACUAAAGCAAAUAAAGGUAGCAUGAGAGCAUUUAUAGGGAUCUACUCAAGUGGAGAUGAAGUAGUGUGAUUAGUAUUUAACAAAUUGAGCAUGUCUCAAAGGUAGGGACAACCAACAUAGCAACAUGGCAAAGAAUGUUUUUAUGUAAAGUACUCCCCCAAGCUUGAAUUUUGCAAAAUUCAAGUUUGGAUGAAUUUAACUCAAUGUUGUAUGAUGAUUGGUUGGACAUACCUUGUGCUUGUCAUUCAUCCGAUCUUCUUGCUCCAAUCCUAGAAAGGUUAGUGACAAGAAUACCUGAAGGAUUUUUUUUACAAUUAUCCUUAUAUGCUCAAAACACAAGGUAAUGUUGUAAAUAAUUAAAAGCUCAUGUUACGAUCUGAUCAGUGCUUAUUUUAGGACACUAAGCUUGUCCAUGGGAAACCAUCAAUUUAUGUCUGCGAAGUGGUUUCCCCUCCAACGCUGACCUAUAUCAUGAUUAACUCAACGAGAUCUGCAAAAUUUAUUAUGGACAUAUGCAUCGACAACCGCCCAAAAAUAUUCUACUCUUAAUCCGGGAGAGAAUAGCCAAAAACAUUCUCCUAUUUCUGUUUUCCCAUGUGAAAUAAAUGCUCAAGAUAUUUCGGUUACUACCACUUGCUACAUUAUUUAAAGAGGUGAGUGCUCUAAAAAAAAAAGAAGAUACGAGGAGAUAAAAAGGGGCAAGUGUCCGGAACCUCGAAAGAAGAGAAAAAGUGAGACGAGAGGUAAAAAUGGACAAGUGUCCGACAGUAGAAUUAGGGGUACAAGAUACCCACCUGAGAGAAAAGAAAAAGAAAAUAUAGAGCAUCUCAUUCUCCUCAAGAAGUUUCAAAAGAGCAAGAAAGGUAUGUAUCCCUCAAAAGAGCACAAGUAGAAUUAGACUUUCACCAUUGUUAUCACCAUCAUCACUAUACACCAUUCAUUCGCCACACAUGCACAUCUUGAUUUGACUUAUUGACUUGUUCUUCUGGAUCCAUAGUUUGACUAUGCAAUAAAUGUCUUGUAAGUAUGUAUUAGCUGUCUCCCACCUAUGAGCUCCAGAUAUCAAA
rnacentral:lncRNA from 1 species